rnacentral:rRNA from 1 species
AUUGAACGCUAGCGGGAUGCUUUACACAUGCAAGUCGAACGGCAGCGCGGACUUCGGUCUGGCGGCGAGUGGCGAACGGGUGAGUAAUGUAUCGGAACGUGCCCAGUAGCGGGGGAUAACUACGCGAAAGCGUAGCUAAUACCGCAUACGCCCUACGGGUGAAAGCAGGGGAUCGUCAGACCUUGCACUAUUGGAGCGGCCGAUAUCGGAUUAGCUAGUUGGUGAGGUAACGGCUCACCAAGGCGACGAUCCGUAGCUGGUUUGAGAGGACGACCAGCCACACUGGGACUGAGACACGGCCCAGACUCCUACGGGAGGCAGCAGUGGGGAAUUUUGGACAAUGGGGGCAACCCUGAUCCAGCCAUCCCGCGUGUGCGAUGAAGGCCUUCGGGUUGUAAAGCACUUUUGGCAGGAAAGAAACGUCGCGGGCUAAUACCCCGUGGAACUGACGGUACCUGCAGAAUAAGCACCGGCUAACUACGUG